rnacentral:rRNA from 1 species
UACAGAGACUGCAAGCGUUAUUCGGAUUCACUGGGCGUAAAGGGUGCGCAGGCGGUUGGGUGCGUCAGAUGUGAAAUCCCGAGGCUUAACCUCGGAACUGCGUCUGAAACUACUUGACUAGAGUACUGGAGAGGGAAACGGAAUUCACGGUGUAGCAGUGAAAUGCGUAGAUAUCGUGAGGAACACCAGAGGCGAAGGCGGUUUCCUGGACAGUUACUGACGCUCAGGCACGAAAGCAUGGGGAGCAAAAGGG